rnacentral:rRNA from 1 species
UNUGACUUGAGUGCAGAAGGGGAGAGUGGAAUNCCAUGUGUAGCGGUGAAAUGCGUAGAUAUAUGGAGGAACACCAGUGGCGAAAGCGGCUCUCUGGUCUGUCACUGACGCUGAGGCUCGAAAGCGUGGGUAGCGAACAGGAUUAGAUACCCUGGUAGUNCACGCCGUAAACGAUGAGUGCUAGGUGUUAGGCCCUUUCCGGGGCUUAGUGCCGGAGCUAACGCAAUAAGCACUCCGCCUGGGGAGUACGACCGCAAGGUUGAAACUCAAAGGAAUUGACGGGGGCCCGCACAAGCGGUGGAGCAUGUGGUUUAAUUCGAAGCAACGCGAAGAACCUUACCAGGUCUUGACAUCCCGAUGCUAUUCUUAGAGAUAGGAAGUUACUUCGGUACAUCGGAGACAGGUGGUGCAUGGUUGUCGUCAGCUCGUGUCGUGAGAUGUUGGGUUAGGUCCCGCAACGAGCGCAACCCUUAUUGUUAGUUGCCAUCAUUAAGUUGGGUACUCUAGCGAGACUGCCGGUAAUAAACCGGAGGAAGGUGGGGAUGACGUCAAAUCAUCAUGCCCCUUAUGACCUGGGCUACACACGUGCUACAAUGGUCGGUACAACGAGUUGCGAGCCGGUGACGGCAAGCUAAUCUCUGAAAGCCGAUCUCAGUUCGGAUUGGAGGCUGCAAC